rnacentral:tRNA from 1 species
GGACGAUGCAAGGACACAUGAAGCCCACUGCUGUUAGCUGAGGUGGUGGCUGCAGCACGUGCCUCAAAGCCUCGAUCAGUGGUGAAACAAAUCAUCAGGUCACUGGCUAAUUGCGAUUGGGGGAUGAUGUGACUCCAGAUCGCCUGAAAGGCUUUGUGCGCAGAGUUGCAAGUGAACAGUUUUCUCUUGUUUUGUGGUGAAACAUGAUAAAAAUGUGGCCUACAGACACUGGAUCAGCAUAAGCUGUGCAGUGGAUGGGGAAGGAAUUCGGAUACAGUGAGCCCAGCUCCUCCUCCAGGUUUCCAUGGGGCAGGUGAGGAGUUGUGGCCUCUUCCCAGCAGACCUGACACCCUGUGAGCAUCCAGAAGCUGCUGCAGGCAGGACAUGGCACAAGUUAGCUGUAAGGCAUUGGAUGUUUGCUUCCUUUUUCCCCAGGCUGCAGGCAGACAGCAGGGGAGGCGGGGAGGUUGUGGACAGUGCAGGAGCUGCAGAGUGAGGCAGCAGCUCUGGGAGAUUUGUGUGCUGAGAGCAAACAGAGGCGGUGCUGCACAGGUGGGGGUAUAGCUCAGGGGUAGAGCAUUUGACUGCAGAUCAAGAGGUCCCCGGUUCAAAUCCGGGUGCCCCCUCCCCUUUGCCUCUUUUUUCUGCCCCACUGGUGGAUUGUCAGCUUCUCAAGUGGCUCUUUUUCCCCCCAGCUGUCUGCACGGGAUGUCCCUUGGCGAGUGCAGCAAUGACCGGGUGCCAAGAAGUACAUUGCCACGUGAAGAGGACUGGCAGCGGAGUGUUGGAAGAAGAUGGACACAUCCUCUUCAGUCUUGUGAGCUUGUGCUGUGUUGAAGUUGUGAUGUUCAAGAUCCUGAGCAGCUGCCUGGUAGGGCUUCUGCACUGCGUGAGCACACUGUAUGUAUUUGUCUGUUCUUGAUUCCCUGUGAUAACUCCCUCAUACAUUAUGGAAUGUACAUGGGUAGGCCCAGGGGCUGUCGAGUAAGGGAAUCUAAACAGUGGAUAUCAGUCAACUCUGGG